rnacentral:rRNA from 1 species
UACGAAGGGGGCUAGCGUUGUCCGGAAUCACUGGGCGUAAAGGGCGCGUAGGCGGCUCAUGAAGGCUGUGGUGAAAGUCCGGGGCUCAACCUCGGAUCGGCCGUGGCGACUCGUGGGCUGGAGCACUGUAGAGGCGGGUGGAAUUCCGGGUGUAGCGGUGGAAUGCGUAGAGAUCCGGAAGAACACCAGUGGCGAAGGCGGCCCGCUGGGCAGUGGCUGACGCUGAGGCGCGAAAGCGUGGGGAGCAAACAGG